rnacentral:rRNA from 1 species
CCGUAGCCCAUCAGAGGGGGAUAACACUUGGAAACAGGUGCUAAUACCGCAUAACAGUUUAUGCCGCAUGGCAUAAGAGUGAAAGGCGCUUUCGGGUGUCGCUGAUGGAUGGACCCGCGGUGCAUUAGCUAGUUGGUGAGGUAACGGCUCACCAAGGCCACGAUGCAUAGCCGACCUGAGAGGGUGAUCGGCCACACUGGGACUGAGACACGGCCCAG